ensembl:lncRNA
CCCCACUACCACUAUCAGAUUAGAGCCAUAAGGGACACUAGGAAUCUGCCACCCUACUACCAUUAUCAUAUUAGAGCCAUAAGGGACACUAGACAUCCACCACCCUACUGCCAUUAUCAUAUUAGAGCCAUAAGGGACACUAGACAUCCACCACCCUACUACCAUUAUCAUAUUAGAGCCAUAAGGGACACUAGACAUCCACCACCCUACUACCAUUAUCAUAUUAGAGCCAUAAUGGACACUAGGAAUCUACCACCCCACUACCACUAUCAGAUUAGAGCCAUAAGGGACACUAGGAAUCUACCACCCCACUACCACUUAUCAGAUUAGAGCCAUAAGGGACACUAGACAUCCACCACCCUACUGCCAUUAUCAUAUUAGAGCCAUAAGGGACACUAGACAUCCACCACCCUACUACCAUUAUCAUAUUAGAGCCAUAAGGGACACUAGACAUCCACCACCCUACUGCCAUUAUCAUAUUAGAGCCACAAGGGACACUAGGAAUCUACCACCCCACUACCACUAUCAGAUUAGAGCCAUAAGGGACACUAGACAUCCACCACCCUACAUCCACUAUCAUAUUAGAGCCAUAAGGGACACUAGGAAUCUACCACCCCACUACCACUAUCAGAUUAGAGCCAUAAGGGACACUAGGAAUCAACCACCCCACUACCACUAUCAGAUUAGAGCCAUAAGGGACACUAGGAAUCUACCACCCCACUACCACUAUCCUAUUAGAGCCAUAAGGGACCCUAGGAAUCUACCACCCCACUACCACUAUCAGAUUAGAGCCAUAAGGGACACUAGGAAUCUACCACCCCACUACCACUAUCAGAUUAGAGCCAUAAGGGACACUAGGAAUCUGCCACCCCCCACUACUACUGUCAGAUUAGAGCCAUAAGGGACACUAGACAUCCACCACCCUACUACCAUUAUCAUAUUAGAGCCAUAAGGGACACUAGACAUCCACCACCCUACUACCAUUAUCAUAUUAGAGCCAUAAGGGACACUAGACAUCCACCACCCUACUGCCAUUAUCAUAUUAGAGCCACAAGGGACACUAGGAAUCUACCACCCCACUACCACUAUCAGAUUAGAGCCAUAAGGGACACUAGGAAUCUGCCACCCCCCACUACCACUAUCAGAUUAGAGCCAUAAGGGACACUAGGACUCUACCACCUAACUACCACUAUCAGAUUAGAGCCAUAAGGGACACUAGGAAUCUGCCACCCCCCACUACCACUAUCAGAUUAGAGCCAUAAGGGACUCUACCACCUAACUACCACCAUCAGAUUAGAGCUGUAAGGGACACUAGACAUCCACCACCCUACUAUAAUUAUAAUAUUAGAGCCAUAAGGGACACUAAACAUCCACCACCCUACUACCAUUAUCAUAUUAGAGCCAUAAGGGACACUAGACAUCCACCAACCUACUACCAUUAUCAUAUUAGAGUCAUAAUGGACAUUAGAAAUCCACAACAAAACUAUCACGAUCAGGUAAGAGCCAUAAGGGACCCUAGGAAUCUACCAUCCCACUACCACUAUCAGAUUAGAGCCAUAAGGGACACUAGGAAUCUACCACCCACUACCACUAUCAGAUUAGAGCCAUAAGGGACACUAGGAAUCUGCCACCCCACUACCAUUAUCAUAUUAGAGCCAUAAGGGACACUAUGAAUCUAACAACCCCCACUACCACUAUCAGAUUAGAGCCAUAAGGGACACUAGGAAUCUGCCACCCCCCACUACCACUAUCAGAUUAGAGCCAUAAGGGACACUAGGAAUCUUCCACCCCCCCACUACCAUUAUCAGAUUAGAGCCAUAAGGGACACUAGACAUCCACCACCCUACUACCACUAUCAGAUUAGAGCCAUAAGGGACACUAGGAAUCUACCACCCCACUACCACUAUCAGAUUAGAGCCAUAAGGGACACUAGGAAUCUACCACCCCACUACCAUUAUCAUAUUAGAGCCAUAAGGGAC